CCUACGGGAGGCUGCAGUGAGGAAUAUUGGUCAAUGGCCGGAAGGCUGAACCAGCCAUGCCGCGUGAAGGUCAGUGCCCUAUGGGCGUUAAACUUCUUUUGUGCGGGAGCAAUAAUGGUCACGUGUGGCCAUACGAGGGUACCGUUCGAAUAAGCAUCGGCUAACUACGUGCCAGCAGCCGCGGUAAUACGGGGGGUGUAAGCGUUAUCCGGAUUUAUGGGGUUUAAAUGGUGCGUAGGCUGUGAGGUAAGUCAGCGGGGAAAUGCCCCGGCUCAACGGGGUGAAGUGCCAUUGAUACUGCCUUGCUGGAGUGCGGAUGAAGUGGGAGGAAUGUGUGGUGUAGCGGUGAAAUGCAUAGAUAUCACGCAGAACACCGAUUGCGAAGGCAUCUCACGAAUCCGCGAUUGACGCUGAUGCACGAAAGCGUGGGUAUCAAACAGGAUUAGAUACCCUGGUAGUC
rnacentral:rRNA from 1 species